rnacentral:rRNA from 1 species
UACAGAGGGGGCAAGCGUUGUUCGGAAUUAUUGGGCGUAAAGGGCGCGUAGGCGGCCUUUUAAGUUGAACUUGAAAUCCCUGGGCUCAACCCAGGAACUGCGUCCAAGACUGGGAGGCUUGAAUCCGGGAGAGGGAUGCGGAAUUCCAGGUGUAGCGGUGAAAUGCGUAGAUAUCUGGAGGAACACCGGUGGCGAAGGCGGCAUCCUGGACCGGUAUUGACACUGAGGCGCGAAAGCCAGGGGAGCAAACGGG